UACGGAGGGUGCAAGCGUUAUCCGGAUUUACUGGGUUUAAAGGGUGUGUAGGCGGACUUUUAAGUCAGCGGUGAAAUCUCCGGGCUCAACCCGGAAACUGCCAUUGAUACUAUUUGUCUUGAAUGUUGUUGAGGUGGGCGGAACGGGUCAUGUAGCGGUGAAAUGCAUAGAUAUGACCCGGAACACCGAUUGCGAAGGCAGCCCACUAAGCAACGAUUGACGCUGAGGCACGAAAGCGUGGGGAUCAAACAGGA
rnacentral:rRNA from 1 species